ACUCGUCUACACCACCGCCGCAGCUUCUCUCCACCGAUGAUGACACCCACGAACCUCGUCUAAAUCCAGCGUUUCUGGCGUGGUCUCAACAGGAUUUAUAUGGGAAAACUCAAAGGCCUUGAGAUAUCAAGAGACAGGAGGGGGAUGGCCAACCAAGUUCAAUGGCGGCUCUUAUUCUAGCAUAUACUGUAUAGCUGGCCAGUAAAGCUCCCUUAGAGAUCUCUUGUGUUCUUGCUCACUGCCCCUGUGGUAACUUUGGAAGCGGCCCUAACUUGCGUGGAAUGCUCUUUCCAAGCCUCGGUUUUGCUGAACAUAUGCUUUUUAUAAUUUUUGAGCAUUCACUUGCAUCUUAGUUUAUUCUAUUUGAAAUUUCAGAUAUGACUGUUGAAUGUAAAAACUUUCUAGUUACAUGGUUUUUUUUUUUUUCCUAAUAAAAAAGGAGGCGCGAGGUCAACUGUAGCUA